rnacentral:rRNA from 1 species
CCUACGGGGGGCAGCAGUAGGGAAUAUUGCUCAAUGGGGGAAACCCUGAAGCAGCAACGCCGCGUGGAGGAUGAAGGUUUUAGGAUUGUAAACUCCUUUUGUUAGAGAAGAUUAUGACGGUAUCUAACGAAUAAGCACCGGCUAACUCCGUGCCAGCAGCCGCGGUACUACGGAGGGUGCAAGCGUGACUCGGAAUCACUUGGCGUAAAGAGGGCGUAGGCGGGGGAAUAAGUCCGUUGUGCAAUCCUGUUGCUUCCCUCCAGAACUGCAUUUGAAACUGUUACUCUGGAGUGUGGGAGCGGUAGGUGGAAUUCUUGGUGUAGGGGUAAAAUCCGUAGAGAUCAAGAGGAAUACUCAUUGCGAAGGCGACCUGCUGGAACAUUACUGACGCUGAUGCACGAACGCGUGGGGAGCAAACAGGAUUAGAUACCCGGGUAGUC